AUGGCACGGCUCCCCCUCAAGCCUUUUGUUCCUCAUCUCUGCUCUGAGCAUGUUGGUGGACGAGGUCCUAAACGUUGUAGCAUUUUGCUUCUUUGUUUACAUUUCCUCCACGUCAAGAUGCAAAAGGCAGUGGAAAAAGCCACACCCAUGGUUUCGGCGAGUGGCCGAUGGAGCUGCUUCCAAGGGGGAGAAGAGAGGGGAAUCUUGAGGACUGCCGACUGUGACAAGAAGAAAAAGAAGAGGAAGAUACCCAUCCACCUGUCCAUUUCUAAAGACCAAUUUGUGAAAACCCCUCGCUUCGCUGCUCCCUCUGCCUGCCGCCGCCUAGCUGAGCUGCACCGUCGACCAACCUUUCGGUCGACGGUGGACCUGCUAGUCAAAGAGUCAAAACCGCAGCCAAAACAUCACAAAGGAGAACCACCGAGACCGAGGGUGGGAGUAGAGUACCGCACCACUUUGCUACAUUCUUCUUCCGCAUGCUGUCCACUGGGCACUACCCAUGCAAUCACAUCAUCCAUUUUGGUAGGGUCAGCUGCAGCUGGCAUGAUACUCCGCGACGAUGAAGGCAAGAUUCUAUUUUCAGCAUACCGAUACAUCUUUCACUGCAAUGAUCCACUGGAAGCGGGAAUACACGCCCUCAUGCAGGGUAUGGCUUUGGCUAUACAACAUACUUCGCUCCCGGUGGUUGUCGAGUCGGAUUGUGCUGAAGCACUUUCAAUCCUGUCUCACAAUGGCCUUGUUAAGUCAGCUUAUGGUCAGUUAGUUCUAGAGAUCAAGGAACUUAUGGGUAGGAGGGAGUUUUUACCUCAGAAAAUUCAUCGCAGCCAGAAUUGUGUUGCAGAUCGGUUGGCCAACUAUAGCCGCUCCAAGAGAACCACAGCUGUGUGGUCGGUGGACAAGAUAAGAUACGAGAGUAGGAGACAAAAGUGCCAGGUCACACGAGGCACCGCACCACCAGCCGCAGGAGCAGCAGGGCUAGUGGUGAUGAUGUUCAAACGUGCAAGAAAGUCUACGCGGUUGCCUGAAAAACGUGGCGGAUCGUCCUUCCUGAGCAUCGAUUCCCGGACAGUUCGCGUCCGUCACCCAACCCCGACGGCGACGUACAUGCACGAAACCGGCCAACCCCGAACCGAUUUCCGGCGACGGUUCGUUUGUUUGUUUGGAAGCAUCCAGGGCAUGUGUGUGUCAGCUGGACAACACAUCUCUGUCGCUCUCAUUGUCUCAACUCUCUCCCAAGAGUCAUCUUGCGAAGCCCUUUUACUAUGUUUCUCUGCAGAAAUCCAGGCAGUUAGAAAGAAUCAAGGAGAAUGGAGAGGAAUCAACGCACGCAUGAUGUCACUGAUGCUCUACACACGCUUGGACGCGUCGGCUCAGAUCACGGCCGGCCGUUGCUCCGAUCGGACGGCUAUCGUGGAUCCAAAAUGCUCAGCUGCUGAACAUUGA
rnacentral:rRNA from 1 species